ensembl:lncRNA
CGGGCGCGGAGGCGGGACGGGCGCGGAGGCGGAGGGGCCCAGACAGGAAACUCGAGGAGGCUCGCACGGCCGGAGCCGGGAAGUGGCCUGGCCGGGUGAUAAGCUGGGGCAGCCGGACAGGGUCAGCUCCGGGCGAGCGAGCGAGCGAGCGGCCGGAAAGGAGGCGAGACUAGACGGGCAGCGCCCGCGGGUCCUCCCCACCCCAGCAGGCUGCGCACCGCACCGCACCGCACCGCACCGCACGGCUGCUCUCCCUUCCCGCGUUCUGCCUGCGGGUGCUGCAGCCUGGCCCCCUGAGAGCGCCUUGGCGUUUCUGCAGCGUGUCAGCGCCGGCUUGCCCCACUCCUGAGCGCCCGGCGCCUGCGACCCUGACGAGCUGAGGCUCUCUGGGAACGUGCGUGCCGUGCCAGGUGAACCGCCGGUCCCGGGAGCGGUCCCCUCCGAAGUACUCACCUCUAGGAAAGUCUGGGAAGCUAGAACUCAAAACUGAUUGGCUCUUCCCACGAGGGCUGGUUUCUGAAGCGCCCCUCGCCCAUUUGGUGCAAAAUCUGCAUAUGGAAAAUAUGGGGAGCAGAGGGAAGAAAGGUGAAGUAGAUGAGAGAAGAAAACUUCUAUAGCCUUCAAAGUAAAUGUCAAGUCCAUUGAGAACACUUCAUAACGGCCCCUCCCAGCCAGGAACUGGCUGGCUGAACAGACUCACAUUGUCUCCCUUGGUUCCUUGGCUUUCUGUUCAACACUGAGAAAUACUGCCACCAACGUUCCUCAUCAAGACAUGCCUUCUUAAAAUGCCCACAGAUUAUUCAAGGUCUGUCCCUUUAGUAAACCAUUCUUUUCUCAGAAUUUACCUGCCCUUCCCUUCAUUCACUUAUGCCUAGUCCUUUGUGCCUUCAAAAACAAAGCUUGAGGGUGUGCUUGACAGUGAUGGAGUUAUGGCUUCCCGGUGUGGUCACCUGAGGGCCUCCUAAGAAAUGUACACUACCAGAGUCAUUCUCAGACAUUCUGCCUUGGGAAGAUCUGUGAUGAGUUUUUAAAGGAAAAUCACGUUUAGGAGACCGGCCAAUCCAGUCGACAGGGUGCAUUUCGCUGAGGCUACAUUUCUAGUUGCUUGCAGCAACACAUAAACUCAGGUCACAGGGAAUCCAGCUGUCAGGUAUCGCUGAAGGCAAUAGCAGGGAGAGAAGCAGCAAAGAGAAUUAGCGGGAAGUCUGUGUAAUCUAAGAAAUGUGUAGACCAGAUCCUCAGCUCGCUUCCGCCAACAAGUUGCUUAGGAACAAAUGUUCGCUCAGGGGUGAGGCUGACUAGAAGACAACUGAAUACAGAGAGGAGUGUGGCGUUCCUGUGACAUGGAGGAAGUGAGUGUAAACUGGCAGGCAGCCCCCUCUUGCCUAGCUCCUGCAAUGGCAGGCUCCAGAUUGCAGGAAGCAGUGACUUAUCUGAGGAGGAGUAUCUUUGUGUCUACUUGAAGAGUCUUCUAUUUGACACAGCCAGCUCCCCUGCCCACUCAUGUCAAGAAUAAUGUCUGUGAUCUGUAAGUUCCACUAGAAAAAGACAAGUCGGUAUCAUCUUGUUACAGACCUCCAAUCAUGGAAACCAGACACCAAGUGGAAGAGGAGGGUGUGCCGCUGGCCGCUGGUACAAAAUAAAACCAAAGGAG